UCUCCGUUGGUGAACAGCGGAGGGAUCAUUACAGAGUUGCAAAACUCCCAAACCAUUGUGAACGUUACCUAUCCCGUUGCUUCGGCGGGCGGCCCGGGCCCCGCGCCCGGCGCCCCCAGGCCCCCCGUGGGCGCCCGCCGGAGGUAAACCAAACCCUUGAAUUGCAUGGCCUCUCUGAGUCUUCUGUACUGAAUAAGUCAAAACUUUCAACAGCGGAUCUCUUGGUUCUG
rnacentral:misc_RNA from 1 species